rnacentral:misc_RNA from 1 species
GUACCUAUAUUCCAACACCAAUAACUUCUAGCUUAAUUAUUUAUUUUAUUCAUAUGACUACCACUACAAAUAUCCCAAAACAUACUAUAGCUUUAAACUAAUUUUCCACUAAAAGAUGAAAUUCUUGCAGCUUAAAUUCGGUUACCUAGCAACUUAUAUCAAGCUUCAAACUAGUCAUAUAAGAAAUACAAAAAACCCUAUUCCUGAACAUAAUUGGGC